UACGAGUGGUGCAAGCGUUAUUCGGAAUCACUGGGCGUAAAGGGUGUGUAGGCGACAAUUCAAGUCCAUUGUUAAAUAUCCCAGCCUAACUGGGAAAGUGCGAUGGAUACUGAUUUGAUAGAGGGUGGAAGAGAGAAGUGGAAUUCUCGGAGUAGCGGUAAAAUGCGUAGAUAUCGAGAGGAACACCGAUGGCGAAGGCAGCUUCUUAGUCCAUACCUGACGCUGAUACACGAAAGCGUGGGGAGCAAACAGG
rnacentral:rRNA from 1 species